rnacentral:rRNA from 1 species
UGCUGCUUUGCUGACGAGUGGCGGACGGGUGAGUAAUGUCUGGGAAACUGCCUGAUGGAGGGGGAUAACUACUGGAAACGGUAGCUAAUACCGCAUAACGUCGCAAGACCAAAGAGGGGGACCUUCGGGCCUCUUGCCAUCAGAUGUGCCCAGAUGGGAUUAGCUUGUUGGUGGGGUAACGGCUCACCAAGGCGACGAUCCCUAGCUGGUCUGAGAGGAUGACCAGCCACACUGGAACUGAGACACGGUCCAGACUCCUACGGGAGGCAGCAGUGGGGAAUAUUGCACAAUGGGCGCAAGCCUGAUGCAGCCAUGCCGCGUGUAUGAAGAAGGCCUUCGGGUUGUAAAGUACUUUCAGCGGGGAGGAAGGUGUUGUGGUUAAUAACCGCAGCAAUUGACGUUACCCGCAGAAGAAGCACCGGCUAACUCCGUGCCAGCAGCCGCGGUAAUACGGAGGGUGCAAGCGUUAAUCGGAAUUACUGGGCGUAAAGCGCACGCAGGCGGUCUGUUAAGUCAGAUGUGAAAUCCCCGGGCCCAACCUGGGAACUGCAUCUGAUACUGGCAGGCUUGAGUCUCGUAGAGGGGGGUAGAAUUCCAGGUGUAGCGGUGAAAUGCGUAGAGAUCUGGAGGAAUACCGGUGGCGAAGGCGGCCUCCUGGACGAAGACUGACGCUCAGGUGCGAAAGC